rnacentral:rRNA from 1 species
ACGAACGCUGGCGGCGUGCUUAACACAUGCAAGUCGAACGGUGAAGCGCCUUCCUUUUUGGUGGGUGUGGAUGAGUGGCGAACGGGUGAGUAACACGUGAGUAACCUGCCCCCUUCUUCUGGAUAACCGCAUGAAAGUGUGGCUAAUACGGGAUAUUCUGGGUCUGUCGCAUGAUGGGUCUGGGAAAGAUAUUGUUUCGGUGGGGGAUGGGCUCGCGGCCUAUCAGCUUGUUGGUGGGGUGAUGGCCUACCAAGGCGGUGACGGGUAGCCGGCCUGAGAGGGUGGACGGUCACACUGGGACUGAGACACGGCCCAGACUCCUACGGGAGGCAGCAGUGGGGAAUAUUGCACAAUGGGCGCAAGCCUGAUGCAGCGACGCCGCGUGAGGGAUGGAGGCCUUCGGGUUGUGAACCUCUUUCGCCAGUGAAGCAGGCCUGCCUCGUUUGUGGGUGGGUUGACGGCAGCUGGAUAAGAAGCGCCGGCUAACUACGUG